UACGGGGGGGCAAGCGUUGUUCGGAAUUACUGGGCGUAAAGGGCGCGUAGGCGGCCUCUGCAAGUCGACUGUGAAAUCUCCGGGCUUAACCCGGAAAGGUCAGCCGAUACUGCAGGGCUAGAGUGCAGAAGGGGCAACUGGAAUUCUCGGUGUAGCGGUGAAAUGCGUAGAUAUCGAGAGGAACACCUGCGGCGAAGGCGGGUUGCUGGGCUGACACUGACGCUGACAGCGCGAAAGCUAGGGGAGCGAACGGG
rnacentral:rRNA from 1 species